ACUCAGGAUGGCACUCACACACAGCCUCCCUAUGGGCACAGGAAGGGGCAGAAGGACCCCUUCCCAGGGCUUGUGGCUCCUCGGCAACACUGGAGCAGCCAGAGGGAGACAGAGUGGCCCCCUCCUGUGGCAGUUGCCAAGGACUCAGGGAAGACAGUUGUGUCCAUGUGGCCUGGGCAGCACCAAGCGUCCGCCGCACAAGUGCUGGUGUCCCACAACUGUCUUGCUCUUCCUUGAAGGUCCCAGCAGGGAUGGAGUGAGUGCACACACCCCACCUGUCCCCAACCCAGAUCAGCAGCUCUCUGCUUCUCCGGCAGGACUAUAGCCACAGACGGGGACUCUGGCCUGGAGCAGAAAGCAGUGACCCCAGUGACCUUCUCCCGCUUGCCCACGGCGGUCGCAUCAACCAGGAGCACUGUCCACCGGGACCCAAGCCUCCAGUCCAGGCUCCACAGCUUGGCAGCCAAACCAGUGCACACAGUCCGCCCGACCCGCGACUGAGUCUUGCGCCUGCCCAGCGGGGGGCUACCCUUGGACCCGAAGUUCCCCACCUGGCGGGGCCCGCUCCUGCUCCCACCGACCGCUGCCUUCUCCGAGGGGACUCCUGAUCACAGCAAAACGUGCUCCCGCUAGCCUCCCGCGGCCCCUUUGCCGACCACCUCCGCCGCCUUCGGACAGCGCCUCACCCGGCGCUCCUCGGGCCCGGCCACCUGGGUGUCCUGGGCCCUCCUCCCCGGGGACCCGCCUCAAUCCCCAGCCACAGAUUUGGGGACUCCCCCCCUUCGGGUCCUCGCCUCGGCGUCUUCCUCCCGCCGUUUGCUUCGAAUCUCCCCAUCUCACUUCGCAGCUGUUACCAAUACACCUGCCUGCGCGUCUCCG